rnacentral:tRNA from 1 species
UGAGAACAAGCUAUUUAUUAGCAUUUCAUUUACACUGAAAAGAUUCUUAUAUUUAUAAGGUUUUCAA